rnacentral:rRNA from 1 species
UACGUAGGGUGCGAGCGUUAAUCGGAAUUACUGGGCGUAAAGCGUGCGCAGGCGGUGAUGUAAGACAGAUGUGAAAUCCCCGGGCUCGACCUGGGAACUGCAUUUGUGACUGCAUCGCUGGAGUGCGGCAGAGGGGGAUGGAAUUCCGCGUGUAGCAGUGAAAUGCGUAGAUAUGCGGAGGAACACCGAUGGCGAAGGCAAUCCCCUGGGCCUGCACUGACGCUCAUGCACGAAAGCGUGGGGAGCAAACAGGAUUGAGAA